UACGGAGGAUCCAAGCGUUAUCCGGAAUCAUUGGGUUUAAAGGGUCCGUAGGCGGGCCUGUAAGUCAGUGGUGAAAUCUCCCCGCUCAACGGGGAAACGGCCAUUGAUACUGCAGGCCUUGAAUUAUUGGGAAGUAACUAGAAUAUGUAGUGUAGCGGUGAAAUGCUUAGAUAUUACAUGGAAUACCGAUUGCGAAGGCAGGUUACUAUCAAUACAUUGACGCUGAUGGACGAAAGCGUGGGGAGCGAACAGGA
rnacentral:rRNA from 1 species